rnacentral:tRNA from 1 species
GCGGGAUUGCCGGAGCGGUCAAACGGGGCAGCCUUAGGAGCUGUCGGCUUAGUGCCUACAAAGGUUCGAAUCCUUUAUCCCGCA